rnacentral:tRNA from 1 species
GUUUGGGUAGCUUAUUAAAAGUAUAAUAUUGAAGCUAUUAUGAAGGGAUUUAUCCCCCUAGACG